GCUGAUGCGUUUGGGUUCUCGUCUGCAGACUCUCUGGACCUGGUCACGAUUCCACAAUGUACCACAACAGUAGUCAGAAGCGGCACUGGACUUUCUCCAGCGAGGAGCAGCUGGCAAGACUGCGGGCCGACGCCAACCGCAAAUUCAGAUGCAAAGCCGUGGCCAACGGGAAGGUUCUUCCGAAUGAUCCAGUCUUUCUUGAGCCUCAUGAAGAAAUGACACUCUGCAAAUACUAUGAGAAAAGGUUAUUGGAAUUCUGUUCGGUGUUUAAGCCAGCAAUGCCAAGGUCUGUUGUGGGUACGGCUUGUAUGUAUUUCAAACGUUUUUAUCUUAAUAACUCAGUAAUGGAAUAUCACCCCAGGAUAAUAAUGUGAGUAUGUCUGUCUAAUAUAUUGUUUUCAUUUAAGAAGACCUUUAUAAUCUUUUGAGUAUUUUUUGGGAGGAGAGAAUUGUGAGAGAGAGAGAGAGAGAACUGACUUCCUAAUACAGGGUAAUUUAGACUUGAAUUCUAUUUCUUUUUGUUUAUUCAGAACUUGAGAUCUCUAUUUACCUGUACUUCAGUAAUUCUGAUGGCAUCUGAACUUCAG
rnacentral:sRNA from 1 species